rnacentral:tRNA from 1 species
GAGGGUGUAACUCAGUGGUAGAGUGCUUGCUUAGUAUGCAUGAAGUCCUCAGUUCAAUCCCCAGUACCUCCA